UAAAAAAUUUGAGAAGAAUCAAUCAUAUUAAUUGAAAGAAAAGCUUUCAAAACCUCUUAGAUGUUAGUUGCCUUCCUUCUUUAAUUUAAAUAUUAAUCUUCCUACAAAGAUUUCUCCUUAUUUAUUAUUCAAUUAUUCUAAAAAAUUUCUAGUAUGUAGGUAUUUAAGUCAAAUUUUCUUUCACUAAUUUUUGCUUCAAUCGAACUUAUAAAUAUUGCAAGAAUGGAAAAAUCCUCACUGAUCAUAAAUUUCAAUUAUUUGUAAUCCACAAUCCACAAAAACUCUCACAAUUUUCAAUCUAACUACUUGAUUGACAUCAAAUUUUUCACAUAUAUUUACAAGUACAUUAACAAAAUAAAAAAAAUUACUUAUAAAUAUAUUAUAACAUUUACAAAAUCAUU
rnacentral:lncRNA from 1 species